rnacentral:rRNA from 1 species
GUAGUCUCGCACAGAUGCAUAUCAAUAAGCGGAGGAAAAGAAACUAACAAGGAUUCCCCUAGUAACGGCGAGUGAAGCGGGAAGAGCUCAAAUUUGAAAUCUUAAAGGGUUUCCCUUUACGAAUUGUAGUUUAAAGAAGUGUUUUCUGUUGAGGUUUUGGUAAAAGUUCUUUGGAAUAGGACAUCAUAGAGGGUGAGAAUCCCGUAUUUGACCUUUACUUUCAACUUUGUGAUACACUUUCAAAGAGUCGGAUUGUUUGGGAAUGCAGUCCAAAAUGGGUGGUAAUUUUCAUCUAAAGCUAAAUAUUGGCGAGAGACCGAUAGCGAACAAGUACCGUGAGGGAAAGAUGAAAAGAACUUUGAAAAGAGAGUUAAACAGUACGUGAAAUUGUCAAAAGGGAAGCGUUUGACACCAGUGUUGUUUUUCUGAAAAUCAAUUAAAGAACUGUUUAUGCUAAGUUGUUUAGACUUUAUCAGCUAACUGUUUAGUUUUAAGCUUUUCUUUAAUGCACUUUUCAGUUAACAAGUCAACAUCAAUUUCUUUUGCUGUAAAAAAGCUUGAGGAAGGUGGCUUGAGAUUCGUCUUAAGUGUUUAUAGCCUCUUGCCUAUGCAGUCGGAGAGAUUGAGGUCUGCAGCGUAGAUCCUUCGGGGCUAAAUGCAUUUGUGCUAAGUUAUAGCAUUUUAUAGACAACUUGUUGACUAUGAUUUGUCUUGUAGCUUACUCGCUUAUGUUAUUUUACCUACGCUUAGGAUGUUGAUCUGUAGUGCGUGCGC